rnacentral:rRNA from 1 species
CCUACGGGCUGCAGCAGUGAGGAAUAUUGGGCAAUGGACGCAAGUCUGACCCAGCCAUGCCGCGUGAAGGAUGAAGGCGUUCUGCGUUGUAAACUUCUUUUAUCAGGGCAGAAACCUAAGAUAUCUAUUUUAGUUGACGGUACCUGAGGAAUAAGCACCGGCUAACUCCGUGCCAGCAGCCGCGGUAAUACGGAGGGUGCAAGCGUUAUCCGGAUUUACUGGGUUUAAAGGGUGUGUAGGCGGGCUAUUAAGUCUGGGGUGAAAUCUCUGAGCUCAACUCAGAAACUGCCUUGGAUACUAUUAGUCUUGAAUCAUGUUGAGGUUGGCGGAAUAUAACAUGUAGCGGUGAGAUGCAUAGAUAUGUUAUAGAACACCGAUUGCGAAGGCAGCUGGCUAAACAUGCAUUGACGCUGAGGCACGAAAGCGUGGGGAUCAAACAGGAUUAGAUACCCCCGUAGUC